GUAGUGUGUUGGUAGAGGAGGGGGGGUCACCAUAGUUUAGACUUUUAGAGGAGAAACCUAUUAUCAUUCUUUCUCUUUCGAACCGCUGGCCGAGAAGGUUACUCUAGUCAUCAUUGCUGGGUACUCUUUUUCCUGACAAUGUUCUUCAAUAAAAAAAGGUUGGUGGAGAUUGUUCUUAAUAUGCAGUGUCAACAACAAGAAUCUGUAAUGAGGGCUCUCUACCAGGUUGUGAGAUGAAAAUGUCAGUUGGGUGUUGAAGCUGUUAAUGGUGGGGAUGUCUGGUGUGCAGCGGUGUGGCAGUCAUUUUCUGAUCGAGAGAUUCACUGAAAUGGAUCUUCUGCAGACUUGCAGUUCAACAUCAGACUUCAAAAUACCAUGUUGGUGCCUGUCCAUGCUGUGUUGAGCUGUUGUGUGCAAAAUGGUUGGUGUUGCAUGAUGGCUGUCUGGCAUUUUGUUAGUGGUUGUCUUGCUACCUGUACACAUGAUAAGUGCAAUCGUAUGCCGCCGUUCCAGACUUGAUCCAUUGGUGAAGCUAAGAAGAGGUUACUUAACUUCAAGAUGGAUGAAUUAUUUAUAUUUAGACCAACUAAAACUGCAAAUCUAUUGUCCCUUUUCCCUAAGUAAACAAAAUGUUCUCUGUUGCCUAGUUGUGUGAAAACCAGGAGUGUCAUGAUUGAAUGGGGAGUUUGCAAUGAGGUUUUAUAUUUUCCAUGUGAAAGAAAAGUUAAACCACAGACUUUAAUGAUCCAGCUAACACUACCGCCUACAUAACAAUCCUUUAACAUAACAAUCCUUUAACAUAACGCUUUUAAUCAAUAACAUGAUAUCGUAAAAAAAAUAAAUUAUUGAAAUCAAAAUUGUUUUUGCUGUG